UACAGAGGUCUCAAGCGUUGUUCGGAUUCAUUGGGCGUAAAGGGUGUGUAGGUGGCGCCGUAAGUCGGGUGUGAAAUUUCGGAGCUUAACUCCGAAACUGCAUUCGAUACUGCGGUGCUUGAGGACUGGAGAGGAGACUGGAAUUCAUGGUGUAGCAGUGAAAUGCGUAGAGAUCAUGAGGAAGACCAGUGGCGAAGGGGGGGCUCCGGACAGUUCCCGACACUGAGACCCGAAGGGCAGGGGAGCAAACGGG
rnacentral:rRNA from 1 species